CGCCGACACGCACCCCACCGCGUCGGAGGCGCUGGGCGUGGCGCACGGCAAGUACGAGGGCGCGCAGGACUCGCUCGGGGACUUCGUCACCUUCGUGUGCCAGGAGCCGUCCGCCGACGUACAGCAGCUACAGGUUCAUAGUCUAUCGAGGAGCCCUAAGCCGGCGUACUUCAGCAGUUCGAUGCUCCCUCCACCACCUUUACCCCCAAUGGCGAGACCGGUCACUAUUAUUAGAUCUACAGCGAGCGAGGUGGGCGUGGGCGUGGGCGUGGGCGGCGGCGGCGUGGGCGUGGGCUCGCCCGCGUCCCCGGAG
rnacentral:misc_RNA from 1 species